GACUAGAGAGGUCCUAGGGUUACUAUAUCGGCGAGCACCAGCAGCGGGAGGGUUUCGUUUUGGAUCGGCGCGUUUGCGAUCUGCUCUUCUACGGAGGGUGAGCGAUGGCGGAUCGAUUGACUCGUAUCGCCAUCGUCAGCUCCGAUCGCUGCAAGCCAAAGAAGUGCCGCCAGGAGUGCAAGAAGAGCUGCCCUGUCGUGAAAACAGGAAAACUUUGUAUAGAAGUCACUCCUGCAUCAAAAAUUGCUUUCAUUUCUGAGGAGUUAUGCAUCGGAUGUGGUAUCUGCGUCAAGAAAUGUCCUUUUGAGGCAAUUCAGAUUAUCAACUUACCAAAGGAUUUAGACAAAGAUACAACCCAUCGCUAUGGACCAAAUACCUUCAAGUUGCAUAGGUUACCUGUUCCAAGACCUGGGCAAGUGUUGGGCCUGGUUGGAACAAAUGGCAUUGGGAAGUCGACUGCCCUUAAGGUGUUGGCUGGGAAGUUGAAACCCAACUUGGGUCGAUAUAAUAAUCCUCCUGACUGGCAGGAAAUUUUGACAUAUUUCCGGGGAUCUGAGCUCCAGAAUUACUUUACACGCAUUCUGGAGGACAAUCUAAAGGCAAUUAUUAAGCCCCAGUAUGUUGAUCAUAUUCCCAAAGCUGUUCAAGGGAAUGUCGGCCAGGUGCUUGACCAGAAAGAUGAGAGAGAUAUGAAGGCUAAACUAUGCAUUGAUCUCGAGUUGAAUCAGGUUAUUGAUCGUAAUGUGGGUGAUUUAUCUGGUGGAGAGUUGCAGCGAUUUGCAAUUGCUGUGGUUGCUAUACAAAAUGCAGAAAUUUAUAUGUUUGAUGAGCCAUCAAGUUAUCUUGAUGUGAAACAGAGGCUUAAAGCUGCACAGGUUGUUCGGUCCUUGCUCAGACCUAACAGCUAUGUGAUUGUUGUGGAGCACGACCUCAGUGUCCUAGAUUACUUAUCAGAUUUCAUUUGUUGCUUGUACGGGAAGCCGGGAGCUUAUGGAGUUGUUACUCUACCUUUUUCUGUCCGAGAAGGAAUCAACAUUUUCUUGGCUGGUUUUGUUCCAACAGAAAAUCUCCGAUUUCGAGAUGAAUCGCUCAUAUUUAAGGUUGCUGAGACUCCUCAAGAGAGUGCUGAGGAGAUCCAGACAUACCAACGAUACAAAUACCCUACCAUGAGUAAAACCCAGGGUAACUUCAAGUUAUCUGUGAUCGAGGGUGAAUUUACUGAUUCUCAGAUCAUUGUCAUGCUGGGUGAAAAUGGAACAGGGAAGACAACAUUUAUUCGGAUGCUGGCUGGAUUAUUAAGGCCUGAUGUGGUGGAAGAUACAGAUGUUGAAAUACCUGAAUUCAAUGUUUCAUACAAGCCUCAAAAGAUCAGUCCAAAAUUUCAAUCUACUGUAAGACACUUGCUGCAUCAAAAAAUUCGGGAUUCAUACAUGCAUCCUCAGUUCACAACGGAUGUCAUGAAGCCUCUGCAAAUUGAGCAAUUAAUGGACCAAGAAGUUGUAAAUCUUUCUGGUGGAGAGCUGCAAAGGGUGGCAUUGUGUCUCUGUCUUGGGAAGUUCUGCAGCCUGCAGACAUAUAUCUGAUAGAUGAACCAAGUGCUUAUCUCGAUUCAGAGCAGCGUAUUGUUGCCUCAAAGGUGAUAAAAAGGUUUAUCCUCCAUGCAAAGAAAACUGCUUUCGUUGUUGAGCAUGAUUUCAUCAUGGCUACCUACUUGGCUGACAAAGUUAUUGUGUAUGAGGGGCAAGCCUCUGUGGACUGUACUGCCAAUGCACCUCAGUCAUUAGUAUCUGGCAUGAACCGCUUCUUAUCUCACCUUGAUAUUACUUUUAGGCGAGAUCCAACUAACUACAGACCUCGGAUAAAUAAGUUGGAUUCUACAAAAGAUAGGGAGCAGAAAGCUGCUGGAUCUUAUUAUUACCUUGAUGAUUAAUGUGACAAUAGAUGAUAUAGAGGCUAUUUCUCUGGUGAUAAAGAUGAAUGGGCUGAAUGAGCAAUCUGCCAUGAUAACGAAGAUCCACCGCGAUACAUGAAGAUCUGCCUUGAUACAGGAAGAUCUGCCAUGGUACAUGAAGACUACCAGCGUUAUUUUUCUAUUUUGAUUAAGAGCUUUAGGUUUUAGGUUUUUUUCCCCCUUUCUGCUGUUCAUUGAUGUUGCCCCACCCUCCACCCCAAAGGAAACAUUGGAUAUUGCUUUAGUCCUUCUAAUGAGGCUUGAGUUUUUAGAAACGGAGCAGCAGCUGCAUAUAGGUUGCAAUGAUCCUGCUUGAUGGUGGGGUUAUGCCAUGUCUCAGACAUCAUCUACCCUGUGAAGAUCUUGCUGGUGUUUAAAUAGUUAUCUAUGCAAAUGUUGAUCAUUGCACAUGGAUUCAAGAGUUAUUUUUCGUAGAAUAUCUAGAAUUCCAUCUUUCUCAACAGUGCUUGUUGCUGGUUGACAGCAAGCUUUCUCCCGGUUCAAUUAUGUUACGUGGGUUCUUGUUUCUUGCCCUGAA